rnacentral:rRNA from 1 species
AUUGAACGCUGGCGGCAGGCCUAACACAUGCAAGUCGAACGAGUGGCGGACGGGUGAGUAAUGUCUGGGAAACUGCCCGAUGGAGGGGGAUAACUACUGGAAACGGUAGCUAAUACCGCAUACCAUCGGAUGUGCCCAGAUGGGAUUAGCUAGUAGGUGGGGUAAUGGCUCACCUAGUCGACGAUCCCUAGCUGGUCUGAGAGGAUGACCAGCCACACUGGACGUGAGGCACGGUCCAGGCUCCUACGGAGGGCAGCAGUGGGAAAUAUUGCACGAUGGGCGGAAGCCUGAUGCAGCCAUGCCGCGUGUAUGAAGAAGGCCUUCGGGUUGUAAAGUACUUUCAGCGAGGAGGCGUUACUCGCAGAAGAAGCACCGGCUAACUCCGUGCCAGCAGCCGCGGUAAUAC